rnacentral:rRNA from 1 species
AUUGAACGCUGGCGGCAGGCCUAACACAUGCAAGUCGAGCGGAGCGGCGGACGGGUGAGUAAUGCCUAGGAAUCUGACUGGUAGUGGGGGAUAACGUCCGGAAACGAGCGCUAAUACCGCAUCCUAUCAGAUGAGCCUAGUUCGCAUUAGCUAGUUGGUGGGGUAAAGGCCUACCAAGGCGACGAUCCGUAACUGGUCUGAGAGGAUGAUCAGUCACACUGGAACUGAGACACGGUCCAGACUCCUACGGGAGGCAGCAGUAGGGAAUCUUGCACAAUGGGCGAAAGCCUGAUCGAGCAACGCCGCGUGUGUGAAGAAGGUCUUCGGAUCGUAAAGCUCUGUUAGUAGGGAAGCGGUACCAACACAGAAAGCCCCGGCUAACUACGUGCCAGCAGCCGCGGUAAUUC